AGAAAGUAAAGGUUGAAGCUGGCGCGAUAGGUGAGCGGUGAGCGGCAGGUGCGAGGCAUUAUGGGUCCCCCGAGAGUCGACUCAGGCCUGGGUGGGUAGUCGGGGACCGGGGACUGGGGACUGGCCGCCUCCCUCACCAACUCAACUCGCCGCUCAGGCGCUCACUCGCGUCGGCUCUCAGUUACCUGUACAUAGUGCGAGAGGGAAGGUGUGCGCGGAGCCCUUGUGGGAUGGAUCUAUUCAUAAUGUUUUUACUAAGCAGAUAGCACAUACUAAAGCAGCUAUCCUCAGCAAUAAGAAAAGAAAACAUAGUGACGGAUAAGCCAAGUGUUUUGUUUGUGCGUUGGUGAGCGUUCCAGUUGUGUAAGUGUGACCCAUAUCGGAAAGGUGAUGCAUAUAUGCCCGCGGGGUGAUUGGUGACCAAGGUGCACCAAAUACUGCAACAUGGAUGACAGAGGCAGAGCGAAGUUCACCUUGUGUUUGUGCAUCCUCUACACCCUGAUAGCGGAGGGGGUGGGUGCCGACGUGGUCAUUCAGAUCCCCGCGGAGCACGUACGGGAUCAAGAUGGACGGUACCGCCUCGACUACUGGCCCCCGCAAGGCAACCCGCCCCCCAACACCACCUUCACGCCCGCGCAAGUCUCUGAAGGAGUAGAGCUGACUCGGGCGCUACCAGGUACCAAGUAUGACUUUCAACUUUAUUACACCAAUGCCACCAUCAGCGACUACCCCACCUGGACGGCCUCCAUCACGACAGUUCCACAUCCCCCGGUGAACCUUGAGAUCCAAGUUCGGUCUGGGAAGAAUGCAUUGGUCAGCUGGGAGCCGCCUCCCUAUGGGAAGUACUCUUCCUUCAAGCUCAAAGUCAUCCCGCUGUCGGAGCCACAGGACAGCAACAAGAAUAUGGCGGUCACGGAGGCCCAGCUUCCCUUCAACCUGCGGGACCUCACCCCCGGGGCGUCCUAUGAGUUACAGCUGUACACAGUUUACGAGAAGAAGGAGAGUGAUGCUUACAUAUCAUCAAACUUCACCACACGACCCAAUGUGCCGGGACGCUUCAUUGUAUGGUACAGAAAUGAAACUACUAUGUUGGUGCUAUGGCAGCCGCCCUAUCCAGCUGGUGUCUACUCCCAUUACCGGGUGAGCAUUGAGCCGAGUGAUGCCUCAAAAAGUGUAUUGAAAGUAGACAAGAAGGGAGAGCCACCAGGACCUGCUCAAGCAGCCUUCCACGGCCUUGUUCCAGGGCGAGCUUACAAAAUCUCUGUGGAAACAGUGAGCCAGGAUCAAAUUUCUGUGCCCACCACAGCUCAGUACCGUACCAUUCCCCUCUCUCCUCGCAACAUUACCUUCGAUUCAAAAAGCCUUACCGCCCACUCCUUCACUGUUCGCUGGGAAGCUCCUAAAGGCAAAGGUGAAUUUGACCGCUACCAACUGAAUCUGGGAGUCAAGAAACAGUCACCUAUUUUUAUAAAUGCUGAUGAGCCCCGAGAGAUGACAUUUGAUUCAAAUCUGGAACCUGGCCAAACCUAUAAUGUUCUAAUUAAAACAUUUUCUGGGAAUGUUGCUUCUUGGCCAACUACUGGGAAUGUUACAACACGUCCUUUAAGUGUCCGCAACCUUGUGGCUAAAGAAAUGGGUGAUGGACGGGAAGUGCAAUUGACUUGGGACCCCAAUCCAGCUUCAACUCAGGAUCGCUUCAAGGUGGUAUAUCAAGAGGUAGAGCGGUAUAACGGAGACUCGCGCACCCAAAUUGUGACCGACACUUCGGCGGCAGAAGACCUCUACCCAGGCAGAAACUAUUCCAUAUCAGUGGCUGCUAUUUCUAAUGAUGUAGAGAGUGAUCCUGCUUCUCAAAUAUAUAUUGCAACAAAGCCAGCAUCCCCUAUCAUUGAAGAGUUACAGCCAAUACCACAAGGACUUAAUAUCUCUUGGAAGAGUGAUGUCACUUCCAGGCAGGAUAAGUAUGCAGUCGUCUACAUCAGAAAUGAUACAGCUGAGUCAGUGACUCGUCAGACAGUAGAUGCCCAUGUUCUGCUGGAAGACUUGUACCCAGGAGCUGGCUAUGAAAUUAAGGUGUAUGCUGUAUCUCAUGGCCUGUGGAGUGAGCCUCAUGUGUACUUCCAAGCAGUAUAUCCAAACUCUGUGCGCAAUCUAACUAUCACGGACACAAGUAACACAUCUGUGAGUCUUGCAUGGCAGUCACCCAUUGACUCCCUCUUUGCUCACUAUAUCAUUAGAUAUCGCACUUUUGAGGGGACAGCAUGGAAAGAACUCCCCACCACCAAUCAAACUGUGGGUGUUGUGGAGCAGCUGGAGGCUGGGGAGCGUUACAUCAUCCAGGUGCGCUCUGUGUCCCAUCAUGUGGAGAGCUUUUCCCCUCAGGAGGUGGAGCAAAUUGUUCCACCAAAUCCUGUGAGAGGCAUCGAACACCAUUUGGACUCGCAAAAUAUUACCUUUGAAUGGCCACGACCUGAAGGCAGGAUCGAUUACUACACAAUUCUCUGGUGGAAUGAUCUGACUCCUGAGAAAAAGAAGUCCAAAGAAAUCCCUGGCAACCAAGCUACGGAAGGCAUCAACCGUAAACUAACUGUUUUGAUCGGAGAACUGAUACCAGGGGAGCUCUAUCACUUCCAGUUUCACACAACAGCCCAUGGGGUGAAGAGUGAGAAUGUUUCAAUUACCAGCAGGACAAGACCAGUUAUCACUUCAGACAUCACCAUCGUCAACCAGUUAGAGACCCAGUCCAUGACAGUGCGCUACACCCGAACACCACCAGAUGUGGCCACAUUUGAUACUUACAGAUUCAUGUUAUCUGACCCAGCUGUUCCUGUCAAAGAGAAAAGGGAAAAUGAUACAGAUAGAAAGGUUAUAUUUGAAGGUCUAGUUCCUGGGCGGCUGUACAAUGUGAAGGUGUGGACUGUUUCCGAGGGUGUGACCAGUCAACCUUUGAUACGCCAAGACCGCUUAUAUCCUGAAGCUGUCAAGGGUAUCAAUGCCACCUUCAUAUCUGACACUGAAAUAUCACUAGCAUGGACGAAACCAAUAGGCAACUAUGAUUACUUCGAGGUACAGUAUUUGAGUGAUGAUGAGUUAAUCACUAACCGUACUAGUCAAGACUUUAUCACCAUCACUCGUCUACGGCCACACCGCAACUACACCUUCACUGUGCUCACCCGGGCUGGCAGUCUAGAGCACAUAAUGAGGCAAUCUAAGCCUGUGUCUGCUACUUUUACAACUCACGAGAGUGCCCCUGGCAAGGUGGCAGAAUUUGCUCCAAGUGAAGUUCGGCCUAACCAGAUUACCUUCAGAUGGACAUUACCUCCUGAUGAAGAAAAUGGUAUCUUAUUAGGAUUCAAAAUAAAAUAUGGAAUAAAAGGUUCAUCCAGUACAAGUGUUCACGAGUUUGGUCCUGAAGAAUUUGAAGGAACCAUUACCAAUCUCAUCCCAGGCCAGGAAUACACAUUUGAGAUUGAAGCAAUAAAUAAAAUUGGUUCUGGACGUGUUAAGUACUGGGAAGAAAGAAUGCCAAUUGGAGCUCCUCCACAACCAAGUCCCCAGGUGUUUCCAACAGAAGUUGCACGAGAUUCCACAACCAUUCACAUCCGUUAUCGGCAAAACUAUUUUUCGAAUAUAAAUGGUCGAGUUAUCAAGUACACAAUCAUAGUGGCCGAGGAUGAUACCAAAUUAUCAAAAGGCCUAGAGCUACCAACCUGGCAAGAUGUUCAAAGCUACCCAGUAUGGCCGCCAUACCAAGUAACAGAGCCAUACUUCCCUUUUACCAAUAAAUCAGUAGAGGAUUUUGUUAUUGGGACAGAAAAGAAUUGUCGAAUAAAACCUGGCUUUUGUAAUGGAAAGCUUAAGCCAGGAUCAACCUACAGAGUUAAGAUCCGUGCAUACACUGGUGCUGACAAGUUUGUAGAUACUAACUACAGUAUCCCUAUAACUACAGACUUCGAGGGAAGCAAUGUUGGCCUUGCUGUGGCAAUACCUGUGCUGCUGUUGGCACUGGUGGUUGUGGUGAUUCUGGUGAUGAGGCAGCGAAGGGUGUGUUUCUUUCCCAAGAAGACAAUGGAAAGCAGAAAAGACAAUGACAUGCACUCCUUACCAGAUUCUCUCAUUGAAACUUCACGUCCAGUCAAACUCAAGGACUUUGCUGCUCAUUAUCGGUUCAUGGCGGCAGACUCAGAGUACCACUUCUCAGAGGAAUAUGAAGCAUUGAAGCACGUUGGACAUGACCUUCAACGUACUGCUGCAGACCUGCCAGUCAACAGACCUAAAAACCGCUUCACCAAUAUCCUUCCCUAUGACCAUUCUCGCUUCAAGCUGCAGCCUACUGAUGAUGAAGAGGGAACAGACUAUAUAAAUGGAAAUUUUGUACCUGGCUAUAACUCACCACGGGAGUUUAUAGUGACCCAGGGUCCCCUGCCCUCCACCAGAGAUGACUUCUGGAGGAUGUGUUGGGAAAGCAACUCUCGUGCCAUAGUCAUGCUCACACGCUGUAUUGAAAAGGGUCGAGAGAAAUGUGACCACUACUGGCCAUAUGACACCCAGCCUGUCUACUAUGGUGAUAUUCAGGUCACUAUUCUCAAUGAGAGUCAGUUUCCUGAUUGGAGUAUCUCAGAGUUCAGAGUGUGCAAGGGGGAUGUAUGUCGGGUCGUCAGACACUUUCAUUUUACAACGUGGCCAGACUUUGGUGUACCUGAUCCUCCACAGACUCUGGUCAGAUUUGUCAGGUCAUUCAGAGAGAGAGUAGGCCCAGAUCAAAAGCCUAUUGUUGUUCACUGUAGUGCUGGUGUGGGUCGAUCUGGAACCUUCAUCGCUCUUGAUCGUAUAUUGUUCAGCAUACGAACAUGUGAUUAUGUAGAUAUAUUUGGUAUUGUGUAUGAGAUGCGACGAGAGCGUGUGUGGAUGGUUCAAACAGAGCAGCAGUAUAUAUGCAUUCACCAGUGUCUUCUUGCAGUAUUGGAGGGAAGAGAAAAUGAACAUUCUGUAACAGAAAUACAUGACAACCAGGGAUUUGAAGGGCUCAAUGGGAAGGUGAUGAGGUGAUGAGUGGAGGUGCAACAAAACAGAUGAUAUUCUUUCCUUCUGCUGCUGUCAUUUUUGGAUGAUGAAGGAAUAGCAGAGUCGGGCAUGUGACAAGAGGCUUAUAGUCUGCAGCACAUGCCGAUCCAUCACAUAAGUAUAGAACUUUGCUCCUGAGAGUAUUUUUCAAGAUGUAUACCCAGGACCUUAGUGUUGAAAGUCAAUAUGGAUACUGGUGUUGGUUUCCAUGGUAAUUAUCUAACUUUUUUUUAUUUCCGUUUACAAAUUAGUAAUAACAUGAUGAUAAAAAGUCAACAACUUCCUUAUCAAAUUCAUAUUGUCUGUAUGUGGGUGCUGAAACAUUGUGGUAAACUAAAGGGCUGGUUUUUUCAUGAUAUGGGUUCUAUUCACCUGUGCUAAAUUUUUGUUUCAUUUUUUGUGUGUUUUCCAGAGCUAAUUCUGUUCAUCUCCAGGUCCCUCACCACUUUAAAAUAUGUCAAGCUACAUAUUUUUCCCACAACAAAUUUUAAAUAAUAUAUACACUUUUAUUUACAAAGGCUGUGCAAAGUAUGAAAUGAAUGAUAAAAAUUGUAGCUGUGCACUAGUUGUUUACAUUUCUUAGAUCCAUGUAUUCAGUCUGCCCUUGCUACUGAUUUUUUGCUGCAUCUCUUAUACCUGGUACUUAUUGGUGUCCUUUAUUUUUACCCUUUUUUUUUCAUUUUGUUUUGUACGUAUUUCAAUAGUUUCACUUUGUUGGAAAAAUUUUUAAGUAUUUAUUCCCUCUUUGUAUUUACUUUUACAUUCCAAGUUAUCAAUUUUACAUUAUACAUUUUUCUUUCUUAUGCAAUUUCCCAGUUUUCAUUUGCUAAUCUCUCAUGUUCAGUGUUACUUCAUAAACAUCCAGUUAUUGUUUGUCCUUAUUUUCAUCACAAUAGUAAAGUGGUCCAAGUUUUCAAAUUUCCAGCUGUGUACACUCAUUUUCCCUCAUUCUCUCAAGUACUAUUUACUUUCCCAUCAUCCCAUCCACUGCAUCACUUACUAUCAAGCCAAUCUGAUGUAAGACUUCUUGAGCCUGCAACAGACUAGCAAGCCCAUGCGGGUCAGCUAAAUGUAAGCAUAUCACUGAUGUGUAUUAUCAGUAAUUUCAAUCUGUGGAUUCAUCAAAUUUUCCUUUGUAUCUUUUGACUCUUAUCUUUACUCAGGAAAUACUUUUUAACUUUCUUCCACUCUUUCACUUCCCUGACAGUAAAUUUCCUGGCAUCAACUCUAGCCAAGAUUAUCAAAUGACUUGCCUAGAACUUAAAAGUUUUGUCAGUGUCCCCUCUGUCAGUCCCCUUGUUCACUUGAAGAUCUAAGCUUAUCACCUACCAUCCUGUGCCUUUUUGAGGAGUACAAAAUGAUAUGUAUAUAUAUGAUUUUUUCUAUGAUAAUUUUCUCAUCCUGAAUAUUUCUUUGUAAUAUUUUCUUCACAGACUCAAAUUAUUCUGUUUUAAUUAUGUUUAAGAGAACCAGAACAAAACAGUAUGAUCAGUGUGAGGACUUACUAGUUCUGAAUAAAGUUUAGGGAUAACCUGCUCUUCUAUAGCAGAAACUUUAAAAAAUAUUUAACUUAAUACUCUUAUUGGCACAACUUCUAAUAUAAAGGCACUGAUCAAGGUCUAAACUCAUUUACAUUCAAAUCUUGCCAAAUUAGAUUCCGAGGUGAAUGUAAUCUAAUGCAGUAUAGUUAUAUUGUAAAGCUGGUAUGCCGCCUACACACAGUAUUCCUGUGCCAGCUAUGAGGACUUAUAUCCUUAGGUCGUGUAAAGGGAAAAAAUGAAUUGCAGACAAAUAUGAAAUUCCCGUGUACUUAAUGAAACACAAGUUUGUCUUGUGGUACUUAACUUGGCUCUGGUGAUGAACUGUAGUGAGCCCGUAAGGUUUUUCAUUCCUAAUUGGUACCCUAAAGUCAUUGCUAAACUUAAAUCAUGCCAAACAAAAAGUAUUUAAUUUGAAGAAAAAUAUUGGUUUUGGGGUCCUCCACCCUACAAUUUUACAAUUUUAGCUUAUCAUCAACAGACUUUGUUCUUACAUCUUAAUAUGGUGUCUUUCCUUGUGCUCUUUAAACUUCCUGGUUACUCAAGUGGUCUUUCAUUGUUAUGGGCAGUACCUGGGCCUUUAGGUACCAGACACAAAGGUGAUAAUAGAAUGGAAAAAUAAUGGCCACACUCGAGGGAGAGGGGCAAAAUAAACAGCAGUCUGUGCAGGUGCGACAUUGAGGAGGAGUCACGCCAGCAACAUAGCCGACAAUGCUACAGCUUGUAUUGUCUAUCACUUUGCUGCAAAAUUUAAACUUAAUUCUUCUAUGUCAAGCCUGGAUUUGGAAUAUUUUACAUUGAAGUUGCUAAACUCAGUACCUCACUGUAUUUUCUUUAUCUUUGAAACUACCAAGUAAUUGACCAUUCUGUAAAAUGGAGGUUAUUCUUUUCAUCUAGAUAUUCUAGGUGCUAAAUGUUUUAGAAUGUUGAAAGCUGAAUGUUUUCUCAUAAGAAUCAUUGAGGAAGUCACUAGAAUAUGAAAUACUCGCAAUCACUCUCAGUGUGUGUUUGUAUGUGUGUAUGUGUGUAUAAACAGUGUUUUAAGUUCCUUGUAUAUUAACAAGAACCAGAGUAAAUAAACGAGUAUAUCCUGAAAAUAACAAUUAAUAAAAAAUUAGCUUUCUAAACUUUGUACAGCAUAAUUGCCUACUUAAAAAAACAUUGAUGAUUUGCUCAUAAUGGUUAAUCAGUUUGAAGGUGAAGCAAUACAAAAUCAACUUGUCCAAAUUAGUUAUUUCAUACAUGUAUUUUAAAUGUUGUUAUAAGUGUAGAUAUCUGUAUUUUUUUACAGUUUGUAUUGUAUAUAUUGUGUAUGAUCCAUAUUUUUAUAAAAUUAUAACACA